rnacentral:rRNA from 1 species
CCUACGGGGGGCUGCAGUAGGGAAUAUUGGACAAUGGGCGCAAGCCUGAUCCAGCCAUCCCGCGUGAAGGAUUAAGGCCCUCUGGGUUGUAAACUUCUUUUCUUUGGGAAUAAAAACUCCGAUUCAUCGGAGCUUGAAGGUACCAGAGGAAUAAGCACCGGCUAACUCCGUGCCAGCAGCCGCGGUAAUACGGAGGGUGCAAGCGUUAUCCGGUUUAACUGGUUUUAAAGUGUCUGUAGGUGUCAGUGGUGAAAGCCCUGAGCUAAACUCCGGAACUGCCAUUGAUACUGCUUAGCUUGAAUCAGGUCGAGGUGGAUGGAAUAUUACAUGUAGCGGUGAAAUGCUUAGAUAUGUAAUAGAACACCGAUUGCGAAGGCAGUUCACUAGGCCUGUAUUGACACUGAGGCACGAAAGCGUGGGGAUCGAACAGGAUUAGAUACCCGGGUAGUC